AAGUGUAAGUUCAGGCAACGAAACUGCGAACAGCUCAUUAAUACGCUCAGAACCUAUUUGGCUACGGCCCACUAGGGUCCAACAUGGAUAGCAGCAGUAAUUCUGGUGCUAAUUCAUGCAGUUCAACCACCUAAAAUGACUUAAGGUGAGGACAUGACCGUUAGGCGUACCAUACGGUUGAGCGCCCUAUCAGCUUGUACGUAGUGUCUUUUACUAUGUAGGCUGUCACGGGUAACGGGCGGUUAUCGUCGGACUGCCGGAGAAGGCGCCUGAGAGACAGCGGCUAUACCCAUGGGUAGCAGCAGGCGCGAAACUUGCCCACUCGCUAACAGCGGAGGCGGUAACGACCCGUGAGUGAUCAUCGCAAGAUGUCUCUCUUGUCCUGCGUCUUAUUAGCGCAGGCCUAGAAGCAGAGGGCCAGCUCUGGUGCCAGCAGCUGCGGUAAUUCCAGCUCUGCAAGUUUGCUCCCAAUGCUACACUUAAAACGCCCGUAGUCGGAUUAAGAAGCGCGAGUAGCGCGUUCACCGUGAAUAAAUCAGGAUGCUUAGGGUAGUUGACAACUGAAUGACUAAGCGCGGUAUGAAAUCUUUACCCGCAUGGGUGAGAUCAAUGAGAGCCAUCGGGGGCAGAGGUACCUGGCGGCGAGGGGCGGAAUCUGUUGACCCGCCGGGGACCAAACGAAUGCGAAGGCAUCUGCCUAGAGGGUAUCUGUCGAUCAAGGGCGAGAGCCGCAGUAGCCAACCGGAUUAGAGACCCGGGUAGUUGCGGCCUUAAACGAUGCCGACAGAGUCUCGUCACAUCUGGCGGGAUUCUAGGAGAAAUCAUAGUCUCUGGGCUGUGGGGGAACUACGACCGCAAGGCUGAAACUUGAAGGAAUUGACGGAAGGGCACACCAGGGGUGGAGCUUGUGGCUCAAUCUGACUCAACACGGAGAAACUUACCAGGACCAGAUAUUUUUAAUGACUGACCAGCUAAAGACUGUUCGGGAUAUGAUUUUUGGUGGUGCAUGGCCGUUGGUGGUGCGUGGAUUGAUCUGUCAUGCGUCGAUUCAGAUAACGAGCGAGACUACCACUGGUUACCUAGGUCAGCCCUCUCUCGAGGACAUGAUCUUCUAACCAGGACUCCCUGCGUCUUAAGCAGGCGGAAGAGGGUAGCAAUAACAGGUCCGUGAUGUCCUUUAGAUGCUCUGGGCUGCACGCGCGCUACAAUGCUGGGGCCAAAGGGUUGCAAAACCGAUAGGCUAUGCUACUCCCGUAAUCCCCAGCGUAGUUAGGAUCGAGGGUUGUAAUCACCUUCGUGAAUCAGGAAUCCCUUGUAAGCGUGUAUCAACGGUGCACGUUGAAUACGUCCCUGCCCUUUGUACACACCGCCCGUCGCUCCUACCGAUUGGAUGGAUCGGUGAAGCUAUCGGAGACUUCGGUCAAAGGUAGUUGAGCCCAUCGAUUUA
rnacentral:rRNA from 1 species